rnacentral:rRNA from 1 species
AGUGAACGCUGGCGGUAGGCCUAACACAUGCAAGUCGAACGGCAGCACAGUAAGAGCUUGCUCUUACGGGUGGCGAGUGGCGGACGGGUGAGGAAUACAUCGGAAUCUACUUUUUCGUGGGGGAUAACGUAGGGAAACUUACGCUAAUACCGCAUACGACCUACGGGUGAAAGCAGGGGAUCUUCGGACCUUGCGCGAUUGAAUGAGCCGAUGUCGGAUUAGCUAGUUGGCGGGGUAAAGGCCCACCAAGGCGACGAUCCGUAGCUGGUCCGAGAGGAUGGUGCGCCAAACUUGAAAUGGAGAAAGGUCCAGACUCCUACGGGAGGCAGCAGUGGGGAAUAUUGGACAAUGGGCGCAAGCCUGAUCCAGCCAUACCGCGUGGGUGAAGAAGGCCUUCGGGUUGUAAAGCCCUUUUGUUGGGAAAGAAAAGCAGCAGGUUAAUACCCCGCUGUUCUGACGGUACCCAAAGAAUAAGCACCGGCUAACUUCGUG